ensembl:snRNA U6 U6 spliceosomal RNA
GUGCUCACUUCAGCAGCACAUAUACUAAAAUUGGAACAAUAUAGGGAUUAGCAUGGCCCCUGCACAAGGGUGACAUUCAAAUUCGUGAAAUGUUCCAUAUUUUU